ensembl:lncRNA
GUGUGUGUAUGUGGGGAGAGUGACAGUGUGUGUGUGUGUGUGGGGAGAGUAACAGUGUGUGUGUGUGUGUAUGUGGGGAGAGUAACAGUGUGUGUGUGUGUGUGUGGGGAGAGUAACAGUGUGUGUGUAUGUGGGGAGAGUAUCAGUGUGUGUGUGUGUGUGUGUGUAUGUGGGGAGAGUAACAGUGUGUGUGUGUUUGUGGGGAGAGUAACAGUGUGAAUGUGGGGAGAGUAACAGUGUGUGUGUGUGUAUGUGGGGAGAGUAACAGUGUGUGUGUGUGUAUGUGGGGAGAGUGACAGUGUGUGUGUGUGUGUGUGUGAGUGUGUGUGUGUGUGUGUGUGUGUGUAUGUGAGGAGAGUAACAGUGUGUGUAUGUGGGGAGAGUAACAGUGUGUGUGUAUGUGGGGAGAGUGACAGUGUGUGUGUGUGUGUGUGGGGGGAGAGUAACAGUGUGUGUGUGUGUAUGUGGGGAGAGUGACAGUGUGUGUGUGUAUGUGAGGAGAGUAACAGUGUGUGUGUAUGUGGGGAGAGUAACAGUGUGUGUGUAUGUGAGGAGAGUAACAGUGUGUGUGUAUGUGGGGAGAGUGACAGUGUGUGUGUGUGUGGGGAGAAUGACAGUGUGUUUGUGUGUGUGGGGGGAGACUAACAGUGUGUGUGUAUGUUGGGAGAGUGACAUUGUGUGCGUGUGUGUGGGGGGAGAGUAACAGUGUGUGUGUGUGUAUGUGGGGAGAGUAACAGUGUGUGUGUAUGUGAGGGAGAGUAACAGUGUGUGUGUGUGUGUGGGGAGAGUAACAGUGUGUGUGUGUAUGUGGGGAGAGUAACAGUGUGUGUGUAUGUGGGGAGAGGAACAGUGUGUGUGUGUGUGUGGGGAGAGUAACAGUGUGUGUGUAUGUGGGGAGAGUAACAGUGUGUGUGUGUGUGUAUGGGGGAGAGUAACAGUGUGUGUGUAUGUGGGGAGAGUAACAGUGUGUGUGUAUGUGGGGAGAGUGACAGUGUGUGUGUAUGUGUGUGUGUGUGUAUGUGAGGAGAGUAACAGUGUGUGUGUGUAUGUGGGGAGAGUGACAGUGUGUGUGUAUGUGGGGAGAGUGACAGUGUGUGUGUGUGUGUGUGGAGGGAGAGUAACAGUGUGUGUGUGUGUGGGGGGAGUAACAGUGUGUGUGUGUGUGUGUGUGGGGAGAGUGUAACAGUGUGUGUGUGUGUGGGGAGAGUAACAGUGUGUGUGUAUGUGGGGAGAGUAACAGUGUGUGUGUGUGUGUGGGGAGAGUAACAGUGUGUGUGUGUGUGUGUGUGUAUGUGGGGAGAGUGACAGUGUGUGUGUGUGUGUGUGUGUGUGUGUGUGGGGAGAGUAACAGUGUGUGUGUAUGUGGGGAGAGUAACAGUGUGUGUGUGUGUGGGGAGAGUAACAGUGUGUGUGUGUGUGUAUGUGGGGAGAGUAACAGUGUGUGUGUGUGUGGGGAGAGUAACAGUGUGUGUGUGUGUAUGUGGGGAGAGUGACAGUGUGUGUGUGUGUGUGUGUGUGUGUGUGUGUGUGUGGGGAGAGUAACAGUGUGUGUGUAUGUGGGGAGAGUAACAGUGUGUGUGUAUGUGGGGAGUAACAGU